rnacentral:misc_RNA from 1 species
AAGUCGUAACAAGGUCUCCGUUGGUGAACCAGCGGAGGGAUCAUUACUGAGUUACCGCUCUAUAACCCUUUGUGAACAUACCUAUAACUGUUGCUUCGGCGGGUAGGCCGUCCCGUGAAAAGGACGCCUCCCGGCCCGGCCCGGGCCCCUCGCGGGAACGGACCCGGCGCCCGCCGGAGGAUAACCAAACUCUGUUUUAACGACGUUUCUUCUGAGUGGCAUAAGCAAAAUAAUCAAAACUUUUAACAACGGAUCUCUUGGUUCUG